rnacentral:rRNA from 1 species
GACGAACGCUGGCGGCGUGCUUAACACAUGCAAGUCGAACGGAAAGGCCCUGCUUUUGUGGGGUGCUCGAGUGGCGAACGGGUGAGUAACACGUGAGUAACCUGCCCUUGACUUUGUGAUAACUUCAGGAAACUGGGGCUCAUACCGGAUAUGAGCUCCUGCUGCAUGGUGGGGGUUGGAAAGUUUCGGCGGUUGGGGAUGGACUCGCGGCUUAUCAGCUUGUUGGUGGGGUAGUUGCUUACCAAGGCUUUGACGGGUAGCCGGCCUGAGAGGGUGACCGGCCACAUUGGGACUGAGAGACGGCCCAGACGCCUACGGGAGGCAGCAGUGGGGAAUAUUGCACAAUGGGCGGAAGCCUGAUGCAGCAACGCCGCGUGCGGGAUGACGGCCUUCGGGUUGUAAACCGCUGUCGACUGUGACGAAGCGUGAGUGACGGUAAUGGGUAAAGAAGCACCGGCUAACUACGUG